GAAUUUGCUAUACCCCUAUCAGCCUUUCACUGAUAUUACUUGCCGCGAAUCUACCCUUCUCCCAUGUAAACUAUCAACCAAUGAACCCCAAAUCACUCAAGUCACAAUCUUGCAACAAAACUCUAAAAGCUUCCAUGAUCCUCUCUAAUCUCAACCUACCGCAUUUCUUUUGAAAGGAGUAGGUUAUCUCGUUGAAAUCCCCUACAAC
rnacentral:lncRNA from 1 species